rnacentral:rRNA from 1 species
CAGCCGCCGCGGGAACACGAAGGGGGCUAGCGUUGCUCGGAAUUACUGGGCGUAAAGGGAGCGUAGGCGGACAUUUAAGUCAGGGGUGAAAUCCCAGAGCUCAACUCUGGAACUGCCUUUGAUACUGGGUGUCUUGAGUGUGAUAGAGGUAUGUGGAACUCCGAGUGUAGAGGUGAAAUUCGUAGAUAUUCGGAAGAACACCAGUGGCGAAGGCGACAUACUGGAUCAUUACUGACGCUGAGGCUCGAAAGCGUGGGGAGCAAACAGGAUUAGAUACCCGAGUAGUCCCUGUCUCUUAUAC